rnacentral:rRNA from 2 species
CAACAACGGAUCUCUUGGUUCUGGCAUCGAUGAAGAACGCAGCGAAAUGCGAUAAGUAAUGUGAAUUGCAGAAUUCAGUGAAUCAUCGAAUCUUUGAACGCACAUUGCGCCCGUCAGUAUUCUGGCGGGCAUGCCUGUUCGAGCGUCAUUACGCCCCU